rnacentral:rRNA from 1 species
GAUCUGACUCAGGAUGAACGCUGGCGGCAUGCCUAAUACAUGCAAGUCGAACGAGAGGAAGGAAAGCUUGCUUUUCUGAAUCUAGUGGCGAACGGGUGAGUAACACGUAGGUAACCUGCCCAUGUGCCCGGGAUAACUUCUGGAAACGGAUGCUAAAACCGGAUAGGUAGCAGACAAGCAUUUGACUGCUAUUAAAGUGGCUAAGGCCAUGAACAUGGAUGGACCUGCGGUGCA